rnacentral:rRNA from 1 species
CAGCCGCCGCGGUAAUACAGAGGGUGCGAGCGUUAAUCGGAUUUACUGGGCGUAAAGCGCGCGUAGGCGGUUACUCAAGUCAGAGGUGAAAGCCCGGGGCUCAACCCCGGAACUGCCUUUGAAACUAGGUGACUAGAAUCUUGGAGAGGUCAGUAGAAUUCCGAGUGUAGAGGUGAAAUUCGUAGAUAUUCGGAAGAACACCAGUGGCGAAGGCGACUGACUGGACAAGUAUUGACGCUGAGGUGCGAAAGCGUGGGGAGCAAACAGGAUUAGAUACCCCAGUAGUCCCUGUCUCUUAUAC